CAACCCUCGAGCCCCCGGGCUCGGUGUUGGGGACCGGCCGCCCCCCGUGGCGGCCGCCCCCGAAAUCCAGUGGCGGUCUCGCCGCAGCCUCCCCUGCGCAGUAGUUCACACCCUCGCACCGGAGCGCGGCGCGGUCCCGCCGUAAAACCCCCAACCCCGUCA
rnacentral:misc_RNA from 1 species